rnacentral:lncRNA from 1 species
CGUCUAGGAGAGUUUGAGAUGGACUAAAAAACUGAGUAGUGGAUUUAGUGGGGAGUUUGAUGGAGAGAAAUAAGGGAUUGGGGUGGUUAUCAAAUAUUCUGUUCAUCUUUUUUUUCAUUUUUUUUAAUUUUCCCCAAAAUCCCUCCACUCUCUUGUCGUUUUUCUCUUCAUUUAUGCCGAAUUUCUACUCUCUUUCACCCUUCAUCUUCUUGAUUUUUUUCCCACUUUGCCUCAUGUCACUCCACGUUUGUUUGCGAUCGUUCGGUAAGUUUUAGAUAAGUGAUUUGUCUCUGUUUGUUAAAUUUCUUCUGAAGUGUUUUGUUUAUGCUAAUUAGGGGAGGAUUCAAGGGCUCAUAAUCACCAAUCGGAGUCUUAGUUUGUGUGGGAAUUACUAUUCAUCAGUUGAAGGUAAGGUUUAGUCGCUUAUGGGUUAAAACCUCGAUACGAGUUCGAUUUGGGAUCACGUUAUGUGAGAUUAAAU